rnacentral:rRNA from 1 species
AUUGAACGCUGGCGGCAGGCCUAACACAUGCAAGUCGAGCGGAUGAAGGGAGCUUGCUCCUGGAUUCAGCGGCGGACGGGUGAGUAAUGCCUAGGAAUCUGCCUGGUAGUGGGGGAUAACGUCCGGAAACGGGCGCUAAUACCGCAUACGUCCUGAGGGAGAAAGUGGGGGAUCUUCGGACCUCACGCUAUCAGAUGAGCCUAGGUCGGAUUAGCUAGUUGGUGGGGUAAAGGCCUACCAAGGCGACGAUCCGUAACUGGUCUGAGAGGAUGAUCAGUCACACUGGAACUGAGGAACGGUCCAGGGUUCCACGGGAGGGAGGAGUGGGGAAUUUUUGGCCAUGGGCGGAAACCUGGUCCAGCCAAUGCGGGUGUGUGGAGAAGGGCUUCGGAUUGUAAAGCACUUUAAGUUGGGGGGAAGGGCAGUAAGUUAAUACCUUGCUGUUUUGACGUUACCAACAGAAGGAGCACCGGCUAACUUCGU